ACGUGGUUUUGGGAAAAUUCAGGCCUAGGGUCACCUCGCCGGGUGUAACCAUGGUUGGUGGAAGCUGCAGUGGGCUGUAACUAGGGAGGUCUAAGCACAGACACUCAUGGUGUGACCUGCAUACUGGUAGGCUGGUUGUGAGCAUCCAGGCUGGGAGCUACAGCAGCAAAGCAUCAUGCGGCAUCCAGGUGCAGGGCAACAAGGUAGUGGUGCUGACCAACCAGAGCACCGUGACAGAAUUUGUCCUGCUGGGGUUCCUCACUGCAUCACCUAAGUUUCCUGCUCUUCCUGGUGCACCUGAUGAUUACCUCCUGAACUUGUCCGGGAAUGUGGUGAUCAUUGUCAUCACCUGGGCUGACCACCGCCUCCACACCCCAUGUACUUCUUCCUCAGGAGCUCUCCUUUCUUGAGAUCUGUUUCACCAGCGUCAUCGUCCCCAAGAUGCUGGCUAAUUUCCUCUACAGAGGACAAGACCAUCUCCUUCGCCGGCUGCAUCGCCCAGGCCUUCUUCUACCUCUCCCUGGGAGUCUCUGAGUUCCUUCUCUUGGCAGCUAUGUCUGUGGACCGCUACGUGGCCAUUUGUUCACGCUGCACUACAUGGCCAUCAUGAGCGGCAGGGUCUGCACUUCAUGGUGCUUACUUCUUGGUUUGGUGGCUUCUUCUUCAUCAUUGGCCUCAUCAUGAUGAUCUCCCAGCUCUCCUUCUGCGGCCCAACGUCCUCAACCAUUUCUUCUGUGACCUGGGCCCCUUGUCAGCCUCUCCUGCUCCAACACACACCUGGUGGCAAUGGACUUCCUGGUAGCAGCUGUUGUUUUGCUGGUUCUUUGGCCAUCACCGCGGUCUCCUAUUCCUACAUUGUUGCUACCAUCAUCCGCAUCCCCUCAGCCAAAGAGCGAUGUAAGCCUUCUCACCUGCUCCUCGCAUAUCAUCGUCCUGAGCAUCUUUUAUGCAGCUGCAUCUUCAUGUAUGUCCGUCCGAAGCAGCGUGAUGGACUGGAUCACCAAAGGGGUGGCCAUUGUCAACACGGUCAUCACUCCCAUGCUCAAUCCCUUCAUCUACUCGCUGAGGACAAGCAGGUCAUACAGGUCUUGAAGGACAUUCUGUGCUGGAAAAAAUAGUGCUGCAAUGGGAAAUAAUGAUUCUGGAGAGUUGGAAGGGGGUUAAUUAAUACACUAAAAUGUACUCAAAGUCUUUGAGAUGCAUGGGAGAUUAGAGAGGUGCUUAAUUAAUAAACUGAAUGUGCUCCAGUUUUGAUACACUGGAUUACAGGGAGGAUUAUUAAUACACCGAAGUUCAGCCAGAACUUCUGGAUGUGUCUGAGGGUAGUCGUGGCUUCCAACUCCCAGCCAAGUUAGAGAAAGUUGGAGGAACAGUUUCUACGCAGGUGCCACAAAUUCAGUUUGAAUUCUUCUGAAGAAUUAGCGGUGCUUCCCUUUGCUAUAAUGCAGCCUGCUCGGUCCUUGCCUCCCACCUGGUCAGCUCUGCACCAUUGGUCACUGGUGAAGAAUAAGAAGAGCCACCAAGAAGACCUCAACACCUGCACCCAACCCUGCCUCUUCAUUUGAGAUGCCUGGGUGACCACCAGAGAUUGCAUAGCUCUGAUGCUGUGCAACCCACCACUUCAUUCAAUUGGCACUAAUGGGUGAAGGAAAACAACUCACUAAUGAAAUAUGUGUAAUCUUUAAUCUUGUUUUUAUCCUGAUUUUGCUAAUAUGUCCAGGUGUCCAGAACAUAAGAAUGGGAAUACGGGGUUAGACUACAGGUCCAUCUAGCCCAGUAUCCUGUCUUCCAAUAGCAGCCAAUGCCAGGUGCUUCAGAGGGAAUGAACAGAACAGGUAUCAUCAAGAUAAAAGAUUCCUCAACUAAUGCAAGUGUUUACAGAGUAUGUUAUAAAGAAAACUGGGUGAUUAAUGAGGGAUAUUGUUAUUGCAGAUGGGUUCUGUUGUUACCCAGGUUCUUUCAACUCAAAGCUCUUGGUAACUUUACUCUUGUGAGGAGGUGUCAGGAAAUAAAUCAGGGGAGACACGGCUGUCCGACCGAUCGAUGGCUGG